UACACUCCUACGGGAGGCAGCAGUGGGGAAUAUUGGACAAUGGGCGCAAGCCUGAUCCAGCCAUGCCGCGUGAGUGAUGAAGGCCCUAGGGUUGUAAAGCUCUUUCACCGGUGAAGAUAAUGACGGUAACCGGAGAAGAAGCCCCGGCUAACUUCGUGCCAGCAGCCGCGGUAAUACGAAGGGGGCUAGCGUUGUUUGGAUUUACUGGGCGUAAAGCGCACGUAGGCGGACUAUUAAGUCAGGGGUGAAAUCCCGGGGCUCAACCCCGGAACUGCCUUUGAUACUGGUAGUCUUGAGUUCGAGAGAGGUGAGUGGAAUUCCGAGUGUAGAGGUGAAAUUCGUAGAUAUUCGGAGGAACACCAGUGGCGAAGGCGGCUCACUGGCUCGAUACUGACGCUGAGGUGCGAAAGCGUGGGGAGCAAACAGGAUUAGAAACCCCGGUAGUCCCAU
rnacentral:rRNA from 1 species